UCUUAUGUACAUGCUUACAACAUAGCGUUAAUGCACCAGAUCCCAUUAGAACUUCGUAGUUAAGUGUGCUCAGACUAGAGCAGUACUGGGAUGGGUGACUGCCCGAGAAGUCCUAAUGUUUUACAAGAC
rfam:Picea glauca, whole genome shotgun sequence.